rnacentral:rRNA from 1 species
UAAUACAGANGUCCCAAGCGUUGUUCGGAUUCACUGGGCGUAAAGGGCGCGUANGUGGCUGGGUAAGUUUGAUGUGAAAUCUCCGAGCCUAACUCGGAAAAUGCAUUGAAUACUAUCCAGCUUGAGGAUUGGAGGGGAGACUGGAAUUCUCGGUGUAGCAGUGAAAUGCGUAGAUAUCGAGAGGAACACCAGUGGCGAAGGCGAGUCUCUGGACAAUUCCUGACACUGAGGCGCGAAAGCUAGGGGAGCAAACAGGAUUAGAUACCCUGGUAGUCCUAGCCUUAAACGGUGCACAUUUGCUGUAAGAAGAAUCGACCCCUCUUGUGGCGAAGCUAACGCGUUAAAUGUGCCGCCUGGGGAGUACGGUCGCAAGAUUAAAACUCAAAGAAAUUGACGGGGGCCUGCACAAGCGGUGGAGUAUGUGGCUUAAUUCGAUGCAACGCGAAGAACCUUACCUGGCCUUGACAUGUAGGUAGUAGAACCUGAAAGGGUGACGAGAGUAACAAUACUCACUUACACAGGUG